rnacentral:rRNA from 1 species
UACGGGGGGGGCAAGCGUUGUUCGGAAUUACUGGGCGUAAAGGGCUCGUAGGUGGCCAACUAAGUCGGACGUGAAAUCCCCCGGCUUAACCGGGGAACUGCGUCCGAUACUGGUUGGCUUGAGUUUGGGAGAGGGAUGCGGAAUUCCAGGUGUAGCGGUGAAAUUCGUAGAUAUUGGGAAGAACACCGGUGGCGAAGGCGGCGACCUGGUCCAUUACUGACGCUGAGGCGCGACAGCGUGGGGAGCAAACAGG